AUUGAACGCUGGCGGCAUGCCUUACACAUGCAAGUCGAACGGUAACAGGUCUUCGGAUGCUGACGAGUGGCGAACGGGUGAGUAAUACAUCGGAACGUGCCCGAUCGUGGGGGAUAACGGAGCGAAAGCUUUGCUAAUACCGCAUACGAUCUACGGAUGAAAGCAGGGGACCGCAAGGCCUUGCGCGGACGGAGCGGCCGAUGGCAGAUUAGGUAGUUGGUGGAUAAAAGCUUACCAAGCCGACGAUCUGUAGCUGGUCUGAGAGGACGACCAGCCACACUGGGACUGAGACACGGCCCAGACUCCUACGGGAGGCAGCAGUGGGGAAUUUUGGACAAUGGGCGAAAGCCUGAUCCAGCCAUGCCGCGUGCAGGAUGAAGGCCUUCGGGUUGUAAACUGCUUUUGUACGGAACGAAAAGACUCUUUCUAAUAAAGAGGGUCCAUGACGGUACCGUAAGAAUAAGCACCGGCUAACUACGUG
rnacentral:rRNA from 1 species